UUGAGCCCGAUGCGGGGACGACCCGCACGUCGGGUUCUGAGGGAGCCCUGGCGCAGCAAUGCGCCGGGGCUACCCGGC
rnacentral:ncRNA from 1 species